rnacentral:rRNA from 1 species
AUUGAACGCCGGCGGCAUGCUUUACACAUGCAAGUCGAACGGUAACAGGCCGCAAGGUGCUGACGAGUGGCGAACGGGUGAGUAAUGCAUCGGAACGUGCCCAGUCGUGGGGGAUAACGCAGCGAAAGCUGUGCUAAUACCGCAUACGAUCUACGGAUGUAAGCGGGGGACCGUAAGGCCUCGCGCGAUUGGAGCGGCCGAUGGCAGAUUAGCUAGUUGGUGGGGUAAAGGCCCACCAAGGCGACGAUCUGUAGCUGGUCUGAGAGGACGACCAGCCACACUGGGACUGAGACACGGCCCAGACUCCUACGGGAGGCAGCAGUGGGGAAUUUUGGACAAUGGGCGCAAGCCUGAUCCAGCAAUGCCGCGUGCAGGAAGAAGGCCUUCGGGUUGUAAACUGCUUUUGUACGGAACGAAACGGCCUGGGUUAAUACCCUGGGCUAAUGACGGUACCGUAAGAAUAAGCACCGGCUAACUACGUGCCAGCCGCCGCGGUAA